AUACGGGGGGAGCGAACGUUGUUCGGAUUUACUGGGCGUAAAGGGUGUGUAGGCGGCUUCGCAAGUCAGGGGUGAAAUGUCCAGGCUCAACCUGGGACCUGCCUCUGAAACUGCAGAGCUUGAGGUCGUGAGAGGAGAUUGGAAUUCCUAGUGUAGCGGUGAAAUGCAUAGAUAUUAGGAAGAACACCAGUGGCGAAGGCGAAUCUCUGGCACGAUUCUGACGCUGAUGCACGAAAGCUAGGGGAGCGAACGGGAUUAGAAACCCCAGUAGUCC
rnacentral:rRNA from 1 species